rnacentral:rRNA from 1 species
GACGAACGCUGGCGGCGUGCUUAACACAUGCAAGUCGAACGGAAAGGCCCUGCUUUUGCUUCGUGCUCGAUUGGCGAACGGGUGAGUAACACGUGAGUAACCUGCCCUUGACUUUGUGAUAACUUCAGGAAACUGGGGCUAAUACCCGAUAGGAUCUCCUGCUUCAUAUUGUUGGUUGGAAAGUUUGGGCGGUUGGGGCUGGACUCGCGGCUUAUCAGCUUGUUGGUGGAGUAGUUACUUUCCAAGGCUUUGACGGGUAGCCGGCCUGAGAGGGUGACCGGCGACAUUGGGCCUGCGAUAGGGACCAGAAUCCUACGGGAGGCAGCAGUGGAGAAUAUGGCAGAAUGGGGGGACGCCAGAUGCAGCAACGCCGCGUGCGGGAUGAUGGGUUACGGGUUGUAAACCGAUUUCGAAGGUGCUGAAGAGUGCGUGACGGUAAUGGGUCAGGAAGCAACGGCUAACUACGUG